AACGAACGCUGGCGGCGUGCCUAACACAUGCAAGUCGAACGGAAUUGAGGGGCUUGCUCUUCAAUUUAGUGGCGCACAGGUGAGUAACGCGUGGAUAAUCUGCCUGACGAUCUGGGAUAACAUCUCGAAAGGGGUGCUAAUACCGGAUAAGCCCACGGGAACUUCGGUUUUUGCGGGAAAAGGGGGGGACCUUUUGGCCUUCUGUCGUCAGAUGAGUCCGGGUACCAUUAGCUAGUUGGUAGGGUAAAGGCCUACCAAGGCUACGAUGGUUAGCUGGUUUGAGAGAAUGAUCAGCCACACUGGAACUGAGACACGGUCCAGACUCCUACGGGAGGCAGCAGUGGGGAAUUUUGCGCAAUGGGCGAAAGCCUGACGCAGCAACGCCGCGUGAGUGAUGAAGGCUUUCGGGUCGUAAAGCUCUGUCAGAGGGAAAGAAGUGUAUUGUGGCUAAUAUCCGCGAUACUUGACGGUACCCUCAAAGGAAGCACCGGCUAACUCCGUGCCAGCCGCCGCAGUAAAAC
rnacentral:rRNA from 1 species